AAAAUACGGAGAUAAGCUUUUAAGCUUUUUUAAGCAGCACAGACAACAGAAAAAUCUAUGAAGAAGCUCGACGCUUUUUCCCUCUUUAUAGGUCACUAUUGCAAUAGUCAAGCUUCAUACAGUUCUUCCACUUGUUUUAACAGAGUUGGAAUUAAAACUAUCUUAUAAGAAUACAGCACAGUUUCACAAAAGACUAAGUUCACACAACUUACUUAAAUGUAUUGAAGACAAAUAAAUUACUAUCUUCACAUUAGCUAUUGAUUACUAGAAGUAGUUUUCCUGUAAGGUUGGUACAAUGGGGCACCAGUAUAUGUUUGUAUAAUCACUCCUCUUUAUAGGUGACUAUAAAACAUAAAUAGUUUAGGUUUAUUUUUAUUAUAAAAAGAAUCUUAGAAUGCUCAGAAUAAUAAAAGAAAUAAAACUGAAGAUCUUAUAUGAAGUGUAUAUACGCAUAUAUGUACACACAUAUAAAAUAAAAUAAGAAACUGUAAGACAUAUUACGACUUCACUUAGAAUGGUCACAUCAAAUAUCAAGUGUGUGAGCUCUUAAAAAAAUUUCUGGAAUGACUGGCAUAUUUUUUGUCAGUGUCAGUCAUACUGACCUAUAAAGAACUGAUAGUAGAUGCUGUUCAGCUAUUUAUCAGUUAUUUCUCCCCUUCUGCACUUUUUACCAUAUCUUUCCAUGUUGAUGAGUAAGAAACAGCUGACGGGAAACUACUUGUGAUACAUCAUAGUUGUUUGAUAAACAUUGUAGUCACACUAAGGGCUCUUUUAAGGGUUGCACAAGAAGUCAAGGAGUAGUAGCACAAAAUGUUUACAGCAUUUAUACCAAGCAGCCAGUCAAGAAAGUCCCUGAGACUAGAGUAGGAGUGUCAGUAAGUAGGCAUUCUUAAAUGUGCUGAAUGCGUGGGAGAUACUCUCCUCCUGUCAUGCACAUCUUGCACAAAAAGGUGCAAAUAUACGUUCAGAGGUCUUCCCAGAGGUAUUCCAUACAAAGACUUGUGGAACCUUCCUUAUUUAUACAAAGUUUAGGAAAUCUUCGUUAUCUAUUCAAUACAAUGACACAGACCCUUCCCAUCAUCUUAACAAACUACAAGGUUAUCUAUUAAGGGUCUUUCAAGCUGCAACUUGUAUCAACACCAAAGCAGGCAUCUUCCUCCCAGACUCUCUCCCUUUUCUCAACUGCACUGCUUCCAUUGGAUUCCAUUUGGACAACACCAAACCUCAUCACACAUGAGUGCCACACAGCUGUAGGCUAUUAAUAGAUAAGCAAUGCUGAUUACAGCCUAACAAGACACAGUACUGCAUAAGGAAAGGACUCCUGAGUGCUGGAUGCUACUUCUCCAUUUGACACAAGCUUGGUCUUACAAACAACAUGCCUAAGUGAAAGCAGUCCAGAUUCCUUCAGCACAAACGUGUCCCCGCAGCGGUCCUAUAGAUGCCAUGGAGGAAACUGAUUUACAGAAACAACGCAGAAAAACAGUCUUGGGUUCCAAGUUCAAGUUGUGGAACCAACUGUGAAAACCGUUCUUGGUCAGAAAAUCAAAAAGGGUCAUCUGACAGUCAAGAGGAGGAAGACGAAGAAUGAUGAAGAACGGGGGUCUUGGGACCACUGAUAACCACCAGAGGGCUGUUUUGUACACACUCAAGUGGACCACCAGAGGGCUGUUUUGCACACACUCAAGUGAAAUUAACAUAUAUUCACUGAGUUCCCAGAAAAGUAAUUAAUAUGUUAAGUUGUGUUGCAUAUGUAUACUCUGAAUGUAUAAAUGAUGUAUCUGACUUCCACCUGAUGCACUUGGCUUGGUCCAGGACGUUCAUCACCAGUGUUAUGAAUAAAGAAUGCCCACUUUCUAACACCACAUGGGAGUUAAGAGUUAUUUCCCAACUUUGGAUGACACUACCAUUAGUAUUUUGACAGAGCAGAAGUUAAUGACACAACAUGGAAAAUAAGUAAGAACACCGAAUUUUAAAAGAAUUCAAAACACUUAUUCAAACUGUUUAUGAAGCAAUUGUUUAGAAUGCUUUGGCAACAGUCUAAAUGUUUACCUUGUAACUAGUUACCAAUGCCACAUAUGAAGGCACACACAGAAGUUCUGCACAUUAAUUAUUUCAUAUCCU